UACGUAGGGACCAAGCGUUGUUCGGAUUUACUGGGCGUAAAGGGCGCGUAGGCGGCGGGGUAAGUCGGGUGUGAAAUCUCAGGGCUCAACCCUGAAACUGCACUCGAUACUGCUCUGCUUGAGGACUGGAGAGGAGACUGGAAUUCACGGUGUAGCAGUGAAAUGCGUAGAUAUCGUGAGGAAGACCAGUGGCGAAGGCGGGUCUCUGGACAGUUCCUGACGCUGAGGCGCGAAGGCCAGGGGAGCAAACGGG
rnacentral:rRNA from 1 species